rnacentral:other from 1 species
AACGCCCUGCGAUGCGCGUGACCAGCCGAUUAGUAUUGAGCCAACACCAAUACUAAGGGAAUCUGGGCUCCGACUGUGGCAUGCAAGCCUCCAUGAUUGAGGAAGUAUAAAGCAGUUGGGCUGAUACCCACCUGUUGAGCACAGGUUCAAAUAACAACGGCCUCACGGCAUAAGUGGGGUAUUU